UACGAAGGGGGCUAGCGUUGCUCGGAAUCACUGGGCGUAAAGCGCACGUAGGCGGCUUCUUAAGUCAGGGGUGAAAUCCUGGAGCUCAACUCCAGAACUGCCUUUGAUACUGAGGAGCUUGAGUCCGGGAGAGGUGAGUGGAACUGCGAGUGUAGAGGUGAAAUUCGUAGAUAUUCGCAAGAACACCAGUGGCGAAGGCGGCUCACUGGCCCGGUACUAACGCUGAGGUGCGAAAGCGUGGGGAGCAAACAGG
rnacentral:rRNA from 1 species